UACGUAGGGGGCGAGCGUUAUCCGGAAUGAUUGGGCGUAAAGCGCGCGCAGGCGGCCGCUCAAGCGGGACCUCUAACCCCGGGGCUCAACCCCGGGCCGGGUCCCGAACUGGGCGGCUCGAGUGCGGUAGGGGAGAGCGGAAUUCCAAGUGUAGCGGUGAAGUGCGCAGAUAUUUGGAAGAACACCGAUGGCGAAGGCAGCUCUCUGGGCCGUCACUGACGCUGAGGCGCGAAAGCCGGGGGAGCGAACAGGAUUAGAUACCCUGGUAGUCCCGGCCGUAAACGAUGGGCGCUAGGUGUGGGGAAACGUUUUCUCCGUGCCGCAGCCAACGCAUUAAGCGCCCCGCCUGGGGAGUACGGCGGCAACGCUAAA
rnacentral:rRNA from 1 species